GUGUACGCUGGCGGUAGGCCUAACACAUGCCAGUCGCACGGCAGCACAGUAAGAGCUUGCUCUUACGGGUGGCGAGUGGCGGACGGGUGAGGAAUACAUCGGAAUCUACUUUUUCGUGGGGGAUAACGUAGGGAAACUUACGCUAAUACCGCAUACGACCUACGGGUGAAAGCAGGGGAUCUUCGGACCUUGCGCGAUUGAAUGAGCCGAUGUCGGAUUAGCUAGUUGGCGGGGUAAAGGCCCACCAAGGCGACGAUCCGUAGCUGGUCUGAGAGGAUGAUCAGCCACACUGGAACUGAGACACGGUCCAGACUCCUACGGGAGGCAGCAGUGGGGAAUAUUGGACAAUGGGCGCAAGCCUGAUCCAGCCAUACCGCGUGGGUGAAGAAGGCCUUCGGGUUGUAAAGCCCUUUUGUUGGGAAAGAAAAGCAGCAGGUUAAUACCCCGCUGUUCUGACGGUACCCAAAGAAUAAGCACCGGCUAACUUCGUG
rnacentral:rRNA from 1 species